GGGGAUUUAGCUCAGUGGCAUAAGUGCAUGCCUGGCAAGCAUGAGGUUAUGAGUUCGAUCCCCA
rnacentral:tRNA from 1 species